rnacentral:tRNA from 2 species
GGGCAAUUGGUCUAGGGGUAUGAUUUUCGCUUCGCAUUGUUGAGAAUAGCUUUCGAUGCGCCUUUGUGAAAGGUCACCGGUUCGAAUCCGGUAUUGUCCA